AGGCCGGAGUCUAUGGCCUUAACUUGGGAUUGCAGCUCAAAGCUACCUCUUCCAUUGGGCAGAUCUGAUUACCUGAGUUGAGAAGUGGAAGAUACAGCUGAUUUCAUCCUCUUCCCCCCCUUCACCUAGUUUUGCUAUACUCAAAAUAGUUUUGUUUUCCCUGAGCUCAAAGAAGUGAGGAUAAGUCACUAUAAGACCCCGUGGUUUUGUAAAGAAAAGCGUGAAGAAAAAGGUACCAACUGCCCAGUAUAUACCUUGGCCAUGGUUCUCUUUCUUUCCACGCAUUUCAACAACGGUUGAACUGCUAACCCAACAGGGUUUAGCUUUAAACCUCGGGGAUUAUAGUUGGCUUUUGCCAUUAAACAAAAUGCAUCCUCGCAUCUUUGUAUUCCUGUCUUGUCUGAAUUCUCUUCUGGGGCAGAGGGGUGAGCAUUCAUGCAGCGUGCUGUUAAUCUAUGCAAGUUUCCUGUAAGUGUUUCAAACUGUUUGUUUCGACUAAAAAAAAAAAAAACCUGUUGAACCCACAGAUGUGGAGUGCUGCCGGAUGGAUUCAGAGUUUAUCAAGUGACCUCUUCAAAUAUACUUCUGAGGUUUCGUUUAUCUUCACAGUCUUCAUGUCAGGGCCGUCUAUUUGGCAGUGUGUGAAAUUCGAUUUCCAAAGUCAUUAUGCUGUUCGGAAAUUUCCCCCAGACAGGAAUUCCUCACCGCCGGCCCCACACACAGAGGUGUUUGAACGCUCUGCUGAGCUUGUCUUUUUGUAAAGCACAUGAGAUCUCGCUUGUCUUUGGUGACAGCACCCGCAAAGAAGAAAACUAAAUGGAAAAAUAGGUGAGGAGGGCUAGCAGGACACGUGCUAGAAACACAACAAUCACAGGACCUUUGCAUUUGCAGCAUCAAACAUUCAGUGAAAUAGAAGUCUGCUGUUGCUGCGGACAGCUUGUGUUGUGGACUUGAGCUGAGCAUCUGUGCAGCUACCAUUCGUGCAUGCCCUCAAUGGGGGCUGAGAGCGCCGGAGUUUUCCUGUGCCACGCGUUGAGUGUUAGUCUGAUAUCUUCCUGGCUGUGUUGUUUGGUAGCUGUUUAAACAAAGCUUUAUCUGCUGGAGCUCUGUCUGAUUCUUUAAAUCGCAGAUGAACAGCUUCUGUUUUCGGUUCGUACUCACUGAGUAAGGAAACAGAAGUUGCUAAAUUUCCUGGUGCUGUGUCCUGGCUUUGUGAUCAAGAGUCCUUCCCCAGCUGUGCCACCUGACAGUCCUGCACAUACUGUAUUUAUGGCAAACAUUUCUGAAAGUGCACCUUUUCUUUUUUUUUUUUCUGAACUACAAAAUGUUGAUGUGCUUUAUUUUCUGUGGCCUGUUGUGCAAUGGGAAAAAAAAAAGAAUGUUCCAAGUGUGUCAGCGUCUCCUUUGUAAGAUUUUCUGUGACAAAGGGAAGGGAAAGGGUGUGAAAUCCUUUUGUAUAGCAAUGGGAAACACUCUUUCGAUGUAACAUGCUAUUAUUGAUACUGUGUUUACUAUCAAACUGUAAUUAAAUGGUUACUUCCUGAUAUUAGCCUUUGUACUGUAUGGUAUUUUAUUUUAUCUUAUUUUAUUUUGUCAUUAAUUGGACCCAAGAAAUAAAUAUCCAAAUUU
ensembl:lncRNA